UUGGGUGACCAAUCAUACUGGAUUGCCUGGGACUGAGGGGUUUCACCAGGUGAUAUGGUUUGGCUG
rnacentral:miRNA from 1 species